rnacentral:rRNA from 1 species
ACGGCUCAGUAACACGUGGACAACCUACCCUAAGGAGGGGGAUAACCCCGGGAAACUGGGGAUAAUACCCCAUAGACUAUGAAUGCUGGAAUGCUUUGUAGUCGAAAGGUCCGCCGCCUUAGGAUGGGUCUGCGGCCGAUUAGGUUGUUGUUGGGGUAACGGCCCAACAAGCCUGUAAUCGGUACGGGUUGUGGGAGCAAGAGCCCGGAGAUGGAUUCUGAGACACGAAUCCAGGCCCUACGGGGCGCAGCAGGCGCGAAAACUUUACAAUGCGGGAAACCGUGAUAAGGGAACUCCGAGUGCCCGUUAAAUCGGGCUGUCCACCAGUUUAAACAACUGGUGAAGAAAGGGCCGGGCAAGACCGGUGCCAGCCGUCGCGGUAAUACCGGCGGCUCGAGUGGUGGCCACUAUUACUGGGCUUAAAGCGUUCGUAGCUGGUUUGUUAAGUCUCUGGGGAAAUCUACCGGCUUAACCGGUAGGCGUCUCAGGGAUACUGGCAGACUAGGGACCGGGAGAGGUGAGAGGUACUCCAGGGGUAGGAGUGAAAUCCUGUAAUCCUUGGGGGACCACCUGUGGCGAAGGCGUCUCACCAGAACGGCUCCGACAGUGAGGGACGAAAGCUGGGGGAGCAAACCGGAUUAGAUACCCGGGUAGUCCCAGCUGUAAACGAUGCGCGUUAGGUGUAUCGGUGACCACGAGUCACCGAGGUGCCGAAGAGAAAUCGUGAAAC